ACAGCAGUAGCCGCGGUAAUACGAAGGGUGCAAGCGUUAAUCGGAAUUACUGGGCGUAAAGCGUGCGUAGGCGGUUUGUUAAGUCUGUUGUGAAAUCCCCGGGCUCAACCUGGGAAUGGCAAUGGAUACUGGCAAGCUAGAGUGUGUCAGAGGAUGGUGGAAUUCCCGGUGUAGCGGUGAAAUGCGUAGAGAUCGGGAGGAACAUCAGUGGCGAAGGCGGCCAUCUGGGACAACACUGACGCUGAGGCACGAAAGCGUGGGGAGCAAACAGGAUUAGAUACCCGAGUAGUCCCUGUCUCUUAUAC
rnacentral:rRNA from 1 species